CAAGAUGUGAGAUAUCUAUAUGGACCAGUAACUAAGUUACUUUUCAGCUUCAUUCCAGCAAGGAAAGUGUUACCAGGAUAAUCAAAACUUUCCCACAAUAAAUCCUCAUUCUUACCGCUGCUGUUUGCAUCUUUCACAACAAGGUUUCCUGAAUCCAACAGCUGCACAAUAACUGAUUUCACCGUCGCUGUGCUUGAUGAAUUGGAGUUCCAGAUGACACCUUUGGAGCCAUCAAGAAUAACAAGACUUCCUUGAUCAUUGACUUUCAGCAUUGCUGUUGAGUUUUGUGUAGGAGUAUUUCUAUUGGCAACCCACACAAUAGUCCUUGGUGAUAUGUUCUUGUACCAUAUACCGAAGUAUUGGCGUUGUGAAUCGCCAAAGUUGAAAAAUCCUGCUUCAUACCUCUCAGCUGCAGAAACAAGAGUAUCACCGUAUUGCAUAAACUGAUUUGGAGCAAUAGUAGUAAAAGUUUUCUGUGUAGAGAAAGUUAGCAUGGAGGAAAAGAAGAAGAAAAACACCAUUAGCAUAAGCCCCUUGUUAUUGUUUUCCAUUCUGUUUGUGAGUGUGAGUAUGUUCUCAUCAUUUUCAUUUUCAUUUUAUCAAAUUACAAUUCAGUUGACACGGCUUAGUCCAAGUCUUCCCAUUUGUUUGACGAUUAAGCAUUAGAACCUUGUAUUUUAAUUUAAGGAAAAUGCUAAUUUAAUAGUGAUACUGAAAAAGAGAUGUAAUGUAACUUAUUUAUUUAGAUAUUCAAUGCUAAUUUCUUUUACCGUUACUUAUAUUUUGGCAUUCCAGAUUUUGUCAUUGUCUUUCAAAGUCUUUGUUUGCCGUCAUCUUCCAUGUCAGAUUUUUUGUUCUCUCUAUCAAAUUCUUCAACUUGCAUUUUCUUUUGUCGAUUCUAUUAUUAUUUGUUUUCUUUUUCCGAUUACUUUUAUUGAUUUUAUUUGUUUAGGAUCCGUUGAGACAAGAUGUAAGUUAAAAGACUUACACCAAAUAUGUGACGUUAGAUCUAAUCAAUCCUACGGUUUGAAAUUAAACAUUUAACAUGAUACAUGUUCACAGGCCACCUUCACAGCAUAAGAAUUUGAAAAGUAACUAUAAUGUAAAAAACUAAAAAUUAUAUAAGGAUUUGGAAUAGGGGAACAAAGUAAUGAACUCAAAUGAAAAUGAUGAGAAACCAUCGAUUUUAAGGAGAAAGAUAUGAUGUUUAGUGGGGCACCAUGGAUGAAAUCGGAGAAAACCAUAAUGAAGCGGAACAUGAACGCGAGAGAAAUAGGGGGAGAUGAAGGUGCAAACUGAUUACCUACAUUAAUAAAAAAUUAAAGAUCAUAGUAAUGAUUAAUCCAAGGGUUGUGAUUUAACCCUCUCACCUCUCAUAAUAAAAACACUCUUAUUUGAUUCGCAACUCAUCGCACCACCGAAAUCAAGGAUUACAUUAUGGGAGGUUGCAAGCGGCGAUUUUGGAAAAGGGAGAAGAGAGGCGGUUUGGCUAGAGAGAGGGCAGAUGAUAAGUUUUUUCUAGAGAGAAGUUGAACACCGAGAGAAAUAUUUUCACCUGCUCUCAAGUUAUAACAAACUAAACUAACAAUGAUUAUCUAUUUCAAUGACAUCAACAACAAUCUUUAUUAUAGAAAAAGUUGUUUAAAGGUAUAAUUGGGAUAAUGAAAAAGUAAGUAUAAAGAUACUCAUCUAGUUUGUUUUUUUUUUUUUUUUUGACAAGUACUCAUCUAGUUUGUUAUACUUUUUAAAUGACAAAGGAAAAAAAAACAUAUAUAUAUAUAUAUAUAUAUAUAUAUAUUCAUAUUACUUUUUUUUUAAUUUUUAAAUAUAUUCUUAUCUAUUUAUCACAAUAGUUAUUUGUAUUGAAAGUUGAAGGCAUUUUUGGAAAGAGAAAAAUCGAGCACAAAAAGCUGAAAGGGGUUAUUUUCUGCUCUUUUUAUUGCGCUAAAGUUUGAAAAUUAUGAACGGUAUUUUUUAUGAAAUUUUAAUUUUGAUUAAAAGUAAAAAUAUAAAUGUUUUUUGCUUUUAAAUUAUAACAAAUCAAACUAACCAUGAUUGUUUAUUUGAAUGAAACCAACAAUAUAAUAAAAAAAUAAAAUCUAAAUUCUUUUUUUUUUUCCUUCAUAAAAAGUAUUUUAAAAUCUCACUGAAUCAAUACAAUUUCACAAAAUCUUUUAAAAUUUUAAAAACUUUUUAUUUAUUAAAAUAUUCUUUUAAAAUUCUAAUAUGAUACACCCUUAAUAUUGUUUGGUCACAAGAAAAUAGCAAGGAUUUAAUGUUUAUUGUGUUAUAGGUAAAUGUGGAAUCCUAACCUUGCAAAAAAUUAAAUAAAAGUUACUAAACAAGGUUGUUAGAUUUUUUUUUUCUCCUAUGAAUCAAACUCUAUUUUUGAAUACAACAAUAUUUAUUUUGGGCUUAGAGUGUCACAUUAUCAAAAUCUGUAGAUCAUUUGAUUUGUUUGACUUUUACAAUAACAAGUAACACAAAUGAAUGGCUGUGAUGUGCUCACAUGUUAAAAUUUUGUACCUUGACCGUGCAUGAAAAUUAAACACUUAAGUACUCCUUCUGUUUCUUUUUAAGUGUUUUUUUAAGGUUAUUUUUUCGUUCCUAUUUAACUGUCUUUUUGGUAUUUUAAGGGUACGAUUUGUCAAUUAUACCCUUUGUCAAUUACUCUUAUCUUUUUCAAUAAAACUAAUUAAUGUUGUCUAUUUGAAAAACUAAUUUUUUUUUUUUUUUUAAAAACAAAGUUUGUUUCUUAUUAUCUUCAAAUUUAAACAAAAUUUUGUUAAAACAAUGGUUGUAAGAAAAGUUAAAAUUCUAUAAAUAAGAUGAGUAGAAAUUGUUAAAAAAUUCAAGUGCAAAGUAAAAGAACAUGUUUGAGAGAAGAAAAAUAAAAGACUCCAUGAACGUUCAAAAGAAAGAAAAAGUGAAAGACUCGUUGAAAUAGUUAAAGAAGGAGCAAUGGUUGAAGACUCAUUUGACAAGAUACACAAACAAGAACAAGAAUAAGAUGACAAUGAAGAAGAAGUUUCAUCAAUAUAAUUUUUAUAUUGACUUAAAAUAAUUAAAAAGAUGUGCAUAGUAUCUAAAAAAUUGAUAAUUGUUUGUAUGAAAGAGAGCGCGCACAAAAAAUAGGAAUUUAUUGGAGAAAAAAAAUAAUAAGUGACAAUUGUUUGUUACGAGAAAAAGAUAACAUAUUAAAUUUAUUAUAAAGAUAAAGUGUGAGAAAAAAAAAGGAAUUUAUUGGUGGAGUAAAUGAGGAUAUAAUAGGAAGAAAAUGUGCAAAAAUACACAUCACUAUUUUUGUAUUAAUUUUCUAAAAAGACACUUUGAAAAGAAAUGGAGCGAAACCAAUAUAAAGUAUUGUAAAUUGCCCGGCAUGCUUCCGCUAUAGGUCGUCCAACUAAUGUAUAAAUUGUUUGUAUUAGGCGGAUUUUUGGCUUCGAAACAUUUUCUUCAUUGAAAAUUAAGGUCGAAACUAUAUUCUUAUUCAACAUUAAGGAUGGACAAGUGGAGACUUUGUAUAUUUAUAUUUCUUUUUAGUGGUGAGUGGAGACUUUGUUUAUAGAUGUAAAGGAUGGACAUGUGAAAUAUAUGUUGUUUAUUCCAAUUGUAUUUGGCGGAUUCUCAAACAAUUUUUUUUCUCAAAAAAUAAAAAUAUAAUUGUAAUUUCAAAAUAUUAUCUUUUAUAUUUUUUAUUAUAAAAGCUUCUAACCAUAAACCUAAUUCUUUCCCUCCAACCACUUGCAAAGUCUUUAUUGUCUCUCAUUGCUUAUAAGAAGAAUUUGUUCUUCCUCAUUGCUUUCUAUUAAGUGACAUUUAAUAACGUGUCAUAACUAGUUUUGACAUAAAUGAAAUUUAUUAGGCUUUUAUAAAAAGAGAUUCAACGACAUACGAAAUUUGAAUUCAAAAUUAACAUUUUCCCUCCCAAAUAUACAAAUUACACAUUCACCCAUUCUUCUAUAAAUUUAGAUCUCUACUUUUGGAAUCUCUCAUUUAUCAACUCACUCUCCUUUGUUGUUCAUCUAUCAUUUCCAUAACGACUAAUCAUAAUAUGGAUACAUUGCUUUCAUAUCAUUCCACCGCCAUAUCAACAUGGUGAGAUUAAUUUUCAGUUUUCCUAUGAGAAAAAGUUGCCUCAAUAUGAUGUUACUUCUGGAUUUUUAGUGAGUUGUUUAAUUCUUAUAGAUAUAACAGAGAAAAUCGCAUAUAUGUCCAAUAUGUCCGAUUUUUAUUGAUCUCAUUUUUUGUUGUUGUUUGUAGCUGUUUGAGUAUCAUGGAUUUUGCGAGUUGACAUUGAACAAACAGACUAUUUCUUUAGUUAUGAUUGACGAUUGUGCCAACAAAUGAGCUUGCAUUCUACUUUUUGGAUACCUUACAAAUGAGCACUUAAAAAUUGGAGGACAGUGGAAGCGUAUAAUUGUUGCUCGAAGAAUUCAUAAGGGCGCGGAAGUUUUUACAAGAAGGAUCAAACCAGAAAUCCUAGGACAUGUUGUGCAAAGUUUUUUCAGAGAAAAAGAGUGUGCAUUCAUCCAAUUCAUAAGUUGCUUUAUGAACAAGACGAGUCCGUAUGUCGUCUUGCGACAGAAAAAAGGUUAUAAACAAAAGAAAACGUAGUAAAUGCAAAAUAAAGGCUACAAAUUUAAAACACAGAAACUUAAAGAAAAGAUAAAUUGCAUUGCAUUAAAAUAAAGGUAGUUCGAUAAAUAAUUUUAGUAUCAUAUUAAUUAGGAGCUUAUAGUUCUCCAUUGUGUUUGUGUAGGUUUUCUCAGCUUACUAUAAUUUUUAGUAUCAUAUUCAUUUUUCAUUUGUCUUACCAAGCUUCUUAAAUUUUUUACUUCUGGCGACAAUCCCUAUCAAUUAUCGACAACAUUGUCUUUUUCAAAUUCAAUUAAGACAAAGGCCUUGUUUGGAUAACCAACUUAUUUGCAGCUUAUAGUGUAAGAACUUACAUAUAAUAUUUUAUAGUUAAAACUCGGUAGCCGGCCCAAAUACCGACUAAUUCGAGAGAUCAGUCUCAUUGUCUACUAGCAGGAAGAGCCAAUUUAAGCGAGAGAAAACUCUGUAUGAACUCACCCAUCACAUGAAGUUUAGGAAGUACAUAAAUAUAUAUAUAUAUAUAUAUAUAUAUUUUUUUUUUGACGGAAAUAUAUAUAUAUAUAUAUAUAUAUAUAUAUAUAUAUAUAUAUAUAUAUAUAUAUAUAUAUAUCCGAUAGAGCCUGUUAUUUUACAAAGUACAUGUAAUAUUAAUAAAAAAAAAUUACAUGUUGUAUUUUGGAUAUCCAAAAACCAAUUCAAAUUAAACCACCACAUAUAUUUGGAUCAAAUAUAAUUUUUUUAUAUUAGCCAUCCAAAUCGAAUCGAACUACAUAUGAUUUUUAUUUUGGAUCGAGUGACUUUUUAUCUAAAAAUCGAUCCAAACCGCACCACAAACACCCCUAAUUCGUUGUCUUUAGAAUAGUCUACUAAGAAAGUUGAAUUUUCAAGUUUCUUCCCUUCUAUAAUACCAUUAUUUUAGUACAUAAACAAAUUUCUAUCAUGAGGAACAAAAUUUAAUUUCAUCGAACUUUAAAUCCGAGUAAUUGAAAAAGUGUAUAAUUGAUAAAUGAAGGAUAAGUGACAAAGAAGUUGUUGGGUCAAUAAAUGAGUUCUUUGCUAAUAUCUGAUUUUUGGAUGUUAAGUGUUUCAUUUAUUUUAGUUUGAAUCUGCGUAUUUAUGUUUAACUUGUGAAGUAAUUUUGUUUAUGUUGUCACAAGUUGUAAAUUGUUCAUAUGGAACGAUGAAAUUGAUGAACAUCCUACAUAUGUUCGUCCAACAACAUCUGAACCCAUAAGUCAAUUGCCUAAUUCUACUAAUGCAUCACAUUUUACUGCUGUGAAACUACUUCUGAUUGAAACCGUGUAUAGCUUGUGAAGGACAUUACUAAAAGAUUGUGGAAUCUAAGAAAAAUGAUAAGUUGGAGAUGAAGCUUAAAAAAUCAAGGAAGAAAAUGGCAAUUUGUUAACGGUGUUGUUGGUAUUGUAUCUUGGCUAAUUUUCUUUGCAUAUUUGAAGAAGUAAUGAAUGUAACCCUUUAAUGGUUUAAUGUAAUGGUUUAUUUCAACCAUUUUAAUGAAUGAAGUUGUUGAAAGACAAUGUAGUAUCUAUUGAUAUUUGUGUUGUUCACAAUCAAUUCAUCAUGACCUAUAUUUUUUGUGUACAAUCAAAUCAUAAGCUGUUAUGACCGUAUGUAUGUAAAGCAAAAGACAUUUGUUAACAAUAACUUCGAAUUGUCUUACAUAGCCACAAUGAAUAGGACAAAACUCCAUAUGAACUUGUCUUAGAGUUACAAAAUACACAACCAUUGCAAUCAUAGAAGUGUCUUGCAUAACCAAAAUGCACAAAAGGCAUACAAAAUUCACUAAGUAAUACAAAAUGCAUAACCAUCCUAAACACAAACUGGAAUCCAUUUAAAGUUCCAAUGGUUUCAAGUUUCUAAAUGCAUAAUCAAAUUCAUUUAAUUAAUCUCUUGAAAAUGUCAUCCCAACUUCUUCGUGCAACCAAGGAUCUUCCAACCUUUGGAUCAUGUAGUUUUGGCUAUGUUGAUGACAGGCUCAUGCUUGGGGGGGGGGGGGGGGGGUUCUCGACUGGAAGGAUCGCUUACUUCAUACCAAAGGACCCCGUUCAAACCAUUUUUAUCCUACAUGCCUCGUGGUUAGGGGGUAGUGAACUGAUCAGAUCACUUGGCCCGCAUGCCCAUUGCUCCCAAAACCAAGUGGGAGAAUCGAGAGGCCCAUGAACCGGAUGCCUAGGCUACGUGGCUACCCUAAUCCUUACCUAAAUAAGAAGGCAUCUAUCCAAACCCUAAUUCAAUCACUGUCUACCCCCUAAAUACUUAAACAUUUGCAGCCAAGUACAUGGCACGUUGCCUACUAUGUUUGACCUAAAGGUCUCAUACGAGAACAAAAACCAACAAAAUGGUCUAGAAAUUUCAUUUUAUUGUUUGGAUAUAUCAUAAUGUAAGAGAACAUAGUUACCAUUCUAUUUGAAAAAGUAGACAAGAUGAAAUGAUUUACUACUCUUUUAUUUUAUUGUUAUUCCAUAUAAAAAACUAUCUAAUUUUCUUGGAAAAAAGGUUUUACCUUUAAAUGUUCGUUCUAUUAUAUUUAAAUUGUGAUAUAUAUACAUGCUCUUGCCGGGGAAGAUAAGAGUCGGUCGGGUAGGUGUGCUGCAACUUCAGCGGUGGUUCAUAGUGGUGGAUACAUCAAGGUUGGGGGUGUACUUGAAAAGCCAAAACAACUCCCAAGUUGGUGAGAUCUUAAUGUGCUUUGGAGAGAAAUACUCACUAAUCUAUAUCAUCUUUGUAGAGAUAGCCCAAAAAAAACUCAUUCAGCUACCCAUACUACGUACUCCUAAUGCAACAAAAUAUUGAUCUUGAAAUGGAAAUGGCAGUGCAACUACUACAAUACCAAUCCCAAUACCUAAUUUGGUUGCUGCAGAAACUGCUCUUAAUGCCCCUUAUAACAAUGUAUUUGCUAUAUCAACAAAAUCUUAUAAUGUUGUCAAUAACAAUCACUACAACAUAAUUGAGAUUUAGUAACAAUUAAAAAAUGUAACUAAAUCAAGAAAAAUGUUACUAAUUAAAUUUAGUAACUUCUGAACAAUUGUUAGGUAAAACCUAUGUUACUAAAGAGUUUUGGUAAUAUUUUAUGUAUUAUUAGUAACAUUCAUAAAGUAUUACUUGUUUAUAUUUUUUUUGUAACACUUUAUAUAUUACUGGUAACACUAAUAAAAUAUGUGACGGUCUUUAAACGGUUCAACGAUUUCAUAAAAUAAAUUAAUUUGAUUAGUUAUAUUCUACAGUUUUCUAAAAACUGUGACACAAUCUUUUAAGUAAACAUAUGGAAUUAGUUCAUCAUAUUCACCAAAUGAUAGGGAUAUGUCACAAAAGGAAGAUAAAAAACGACAGUGAGCAAGUUUAUUAAGCACAUAACUGAUGCGGCUACAAAAAUCCACUGAAUCAUAAAUCACCUAACAAAAACGACACCCAACUGAAUAUGAAAACUUCAAGCAAUGCUCAACAUCUCACAACUUGAAAAUAUGCAAGAUUAAAACUUAAAGGAAUCUAACGAAACAAUCAUUUAAGCAUACCAUUCUUAGAAAAAAAGAGUAAAUAUAUACAAUCACCAUACCUUUCUGAUCUUCAAAAGGUAGAAAUCAAUAAUGUCAUCAAGCAGCACAAUAGAAAUGCAAUCCUUUUCUUUAAUCUCCUUUGUAUUGCGGCGUUGCUUACCGCAAGCAUCUUCAUAAUGCUCUGCCUGCAAGAUUGCAGACAUAUCUCCUUUCUAUUGUGGCAUUAAUGCAUCUGUUGUAAUUGAUGAAUCUGCUAAUCCUGUUGAUGAAUAUGUGGUUACUAAUAAUGUUGUUCCACAAGAUGAUUUUGCUAAUGCUGUUCUGCGUUCUUGAACCUUUUUUUUUUUUUUUGAAGAAGCUAAAUUAGUCUAUUGAAAUUGGCACCGGGGAGAAUAGAACCUUAGACCUUAAGGAGGAGCACACUCUCAGAUCUCAAGUCAAUACCACCAGGCCAACCCAAGUGGGUUUUUCUUGAACCAGUUAAGUUCGACAUCCAAAACUGUUUGGUAAUUAUGACUCUUUUGCUAUGGCAGUAGUACUUAGAGCUUUCAAUUUUAUUUUAUUUUUUCAAAAAAAGACAACAAAGCCAAAGGUUGUGAAGAAAUUGAACCUUAAGAAGGUGAGAGAAGUGAUAGGAUGAGAAAGUCAAACACUAGGCCGCUGGUGUUUAACUAUUUAGAGGGGUGGAAAGUGAAUGAAUUAGGGUUUGGCUAGAGACCUCCUUAUAUAGGGAAGGAUGGGACUUUUCCCAGGCAGCUCAUUAGUUUUUCCUAUAAGUACCGUCUUGUCACUAGGGCGGGAUAUCUGGGAGCUUCCUUGCCCCUCAAUCCUUUCCCUAAGCUGGAAGGAGUUUGGCUCCCCAACCACGAGUCCUAGGCAAUCAGGUCAUGGGCCUCUCAAUUCUCCAACUUGGUUCUGGGAGCGAUGGGCAUGUGGGCCUAUCGACUCAACCAACCGAUUUUUAAGGUAUCAUAAGUCCAAGAGUUGGUGUCACGACGAGUGCACUUUACAACUCUUUAAUCUAUUUUUCCCGUCAACCCAUUUAAUUUGUUGGUACCCCUUUACAUUGGACCGACAACCAGCUCUGAUAUAAGUUGACAAGUAUCAAGCCCUUGAAAAUUCCUCCCUUAAAGCUAGGUCUAAAAGAGAGAACAAAGCCACUCAAAUACUUGAGUGAGCAUCUCAUACUACCAAUAUGAGCCCCUAUCAUAAACCUUCUGAUAGAAAUUAACUUUUACAAAAAGAGAGCAUGUUUGCAGCAUGUGAUGGUUCCAUAUUAACAAUCACAUUCCAAAAGAUAAAAAUAUGAAAUUUCAGAUUCCGAACGAUUCUACAAAUGGACCUCAAGUAUCCUAUAAUUCUGUUACAUUUCAACAAUAAUUGAUUUACAAUACCAGAUAGAAAAUGGCAUAGUAAUUUAAAUAAGUUUUUGAAAUACACUUUAACAACAGGAAUUUAUCAAGAAUCAGUAACAUAAAAUUACACAUGUACAACACAUUAGUGUUCUAUGAUCUAUCUGUAUCUAUAUUUGUCAAAACAAGAAUUUAGUAUCACACACAGUGGCAUUCUAUCGGGCCUCUAAUAAUGAGAUUGAAGCUUCAAUUAUUGAACACUCUUUAGAUGAAGAUUCUAUGCUAUUUUUAUUAUCGCUUGCUGCGUAGAACCCGGGUUCACUUGGUUUCGGAAGUAACUUUUCACCCUUUAACAUAAAAACCACAGAUGACAUGUUAGGCCUAUUUUCUGGUUUCUGUUGUACACACAAUAGACCCACAUGAAUAAAUCUUAGUAUUUCUGUACAUAUGGCGUCAUCAUCAUAUAAUACGUCAGCUAUUAACUCCAGUGGUCUUUCUUCAAUCCAUAGUCUCCAUGCCUAAAAUGACAUCAAAGUUACAACAUGAGUAAGCUCAACACUUAUAAUGUGGAUUUUGAUUGAUUGAUUUAUUGUGUGUUAGUAUGUGUGGAGUUCACUUUAAACUAUCAUCAUCAUAUAAAUUAGUUUUCAUUUUGAAUUCCUUCCCAUGCAGAAGAUUUAUUGAGACCAAAAAAAGGGAUAUAAGAAAAGCAACUAAAAAGGAUACAGUGUGUCACAAGAUAGAGAAACAUAUACACUUCCAAACUUACAUGACCAAGAAGGUUAAGACGGUGUAGUGGGUCGCGAAAUCCAUGAUUCUUUCUACCGCUAAUUAUCUCAAGUAGAACAACUCCAAAACUAUAAACAUCAGAUUUUAUUGAGAAGGAUCCAUCCGCUGCAUAUUCUGGAGGCAUAUAUCCACUGCAAGAAUAAGAAAUUGCUGUUUUUAGUAAAAGGAGCUGCAACAUGGCACAGAACUGAAGGUUUAAAUAAGUACCGUAAUAUGUCCCUAAUUAAAAUUCUUAUCAGUAAUAAUACCUAAAACAUAGAACACAAUGCUUGUAAUAUUUGUUGAUAUUGGACAUAGUCCAUGUAUAGUAUCUACUCUAUGGACUAAUACUCCAAUAUGAACAAUUAUUAUCAAAGUCUAAAACCAAAAUAACGAGGAUAAAAGACAAUCUUUCCUGUAUUUUAGGAAUACAAACUGAUAAAAAUCUUUAAUAGAAACGAAAACUGAAAUAUAUUUCAAAGACGAAAAAGUCAUUUAAGCCUUAAAAUUGAAAUAAAUAUAAGUUAGAUAUUACUAUGAUCCGAUCAAUCUAUUUGUAUUAGCCUCUGCUUCGUCUCCCAUAAAUGAUCUGGCUAAACCAAAAUCUGCUAUCUUUGGAAUCAUAUCAAUAUCAAGAAGAAUAUUGCUUGUUUUCAUAUCUCUAUGUAUGAUUCUUAGUGUAGAAUCUUGAUGAAGAUACAACAGCCCUCGAGCAAUUCCAUCAAUAAUUUCCAGGCGCUUAUUCCAAUUUAGCAAUUUGCUUCGCAUAGUAUCUAACAAAAUUCACAUUCUUAAGUUAGCAUGGGAACUAUAUUAUGACAAAACUAAACUAAGAGAAAUUAAUUUCGUUGGUGAGAAAGUUCAAACCAAAAAUAAAGUAAUCCAAGCUUCUGUUGGCCAUGAAUUCAUAGAUCAACAACUUUUCAUCUUGUUGAAUAGAACAACCAAGAAGUUUAACAAGAUUACGGUGUUGAAGUGUUGCCAUCAAGUUUACUUCAUUUUUGAACUCCUCGGUUCCUUGUGCCGAUGUUUUAGAAAGCCUUUUAACAGCAAUCUCUUGGCCGUCUACCAUUACACCCUGGUAAUAUUUUUUAAAAUUUUAGUACUUAGAGUACAUGGUGAAAUAACUAUAUAGAUAAACUAACAUGAUAUCGAAGACUAUACCUUGUACACUGCUCCAAAACCACCUUCUCCCAACUUGCUUUUGACAGAGAAAUUAUUUGUUGCAAUAGUGAUGGUUGAAAAAUCAAAUAUUGUUGCCAAAUCACAAUAUUCCUUCUCCUUCUUGUGCUUCCAGAGAAAUAACUUUUUUAUAUACCCUGAAGUAACAGUUUAUGUUGUUUAAUGUUAAGAAAGUAACAGAACACAUCUAUCAAACUUUAGAGUUCAUUGUAAUUUGUAACUAAUUCUGUUUGCAGCGCUAUUUGAGUAAGUAAGUCAUACCAUUUUCACUCGGCUUACCAAGCUUCUUUCUAUAUACUGAUGUGAUCAAUACGAGAACGGUUAGUCCUAUAAUGAAUGCAACAACUCCUGCAAGAGUCCCAGCAAGCUUCAAUUUCCGCUUAUUCUUUUUAUGAUCUGAGGGUUGAAAUUAAUGUCAGUCAACAAGAAGGUAUAGGAGUAUACUAAAGAGAAGAAAAAAACAUCGAUAGAGAACAAAACUUCCAUUUGGAAGUUGAACACAACUUUUUCUUAGAAAUAGCUCUGGUAAAUAGUUACUUGAAAGUGAAAUGAGAAUUUACUGGUCCAUAAUAAUAUCAACACAAAUGGUGAAAUAUGUAAAUUUAUGCUAUAUCUAACUGAAAGGACAAAAUAUGUAAUAGCAAAUGAAAAUACCAAGCUCUGAAGAUGCCAGCCGUAUGUAAAUGUCUUGUCCUUGGUCUGGAUGUUUUCUCAUGUCGACAAUGUUGUCAAACCAAAGUAAGCAGCCACUCCCACCAUCUCUGAUAUCUGAAUUUGCAUAUGCAGUGCAAGAACAGUUUUUCAAACACAUUGUCUUACAUUCCUCAAGGCUCAAGCUCCUGUCAUACCAAGAUGUUGACGUGUCUGGCAACUUCAUGUUUGUGUACGGUAAAAAUCCAUCGCCAUGGAGACAAUUUAAACGUGUUUUCCUUAUGCACCCACCAGACCAAUUUGAUGACUCCCACUCUGGUUGAGAUUUUGGCACGAAACCUUCUAAGCAUUCACAUAUUGGAAAGAUAUCACCAUUGCAGUUAGAAUUGUUACCACACAAGUCAUAAGCAUCACACUGGUCUGCAGGAAGAGCAUAUAUAGCCUCCCAAAUCUGUGUCCUAUCUGACCAUUGAAAACGUUGUGAAGUUCCAUAUGGAUCUAGCACCAAUCUAGUAUUAAUUGAACUGUUUAAAGUUUCAUAUUGAUAAGAGAAUUCUUUGUCGGUGACUACUACUGAGAAAUUCAAGACUCUACGCAGUCUUUGCCAAGAAACACCAGUGAAAAGAAAUCCAUUCCAUGACCCUCCUCUAUACAGAACCUUUGCUCCCUUUGCAGUAACCAGUUGAGGAAAACCAUGUGUAUCUAUCUUAUAUGAACACUCACCCUCAGCAGGAUCUUGAGGGUCUUUCCAAGAUGUGAGAUAUCUAUAUGGACCAGUAACUAAGUUACUUUUCAGCUUCAUUCCAGCAAGGAAAGUGUUACCGGGAUAGUCAAAACUUUCCCACAGAAAGUUCUGAGAGUUUGCAUCUUUCAGGACAAGAUUUCCCGAAUCAAAAAGCUGAACAACUGAUUUCACUACAAUUCUUGAUAUAUUGGAGGACCAGAUAAUGCCUUUGGAGCCAUCCA
rnacentral:lncRNA from 1 species